CUGCUGCCUCCCGUAGGAGUCUGGGCCGUGUCUCAGUCCCAAUGUGGCCGUCCACUCUCUCAAGCCGGCUACUGAUCGCUGCCUUGGUGGGCCGUUACCCCGCCAACUAGCUAAUCAGACGCGGGCCCAUCCUGUACCACCGGAGUUUUCCCCGCAGCGCCAUGCGGCGCCGCGGGCUUAUGCGGUAUUAGCAGCCGUUUCCGGCUGUUGUCCCCCUGUACAGGGCAGGUUACCCACGCGUUACUCACCCGUCCGCCACUGGG
rnacentral:rRNA from 1 species